CUUGAGGAAAUGAUGAUUAGAUACAAACAGAUUGGCAAAGGUGCCAGAAAUGCCGAAAUUUAUUUAUUUGCACGUCAGUCUGAUCCCAAG